rnacentral:rRNA from 1 species
GACGAACGCUGGCGGCGUGCUUAACACAUGCAAGUCGAACGAAGUGGCGAACGGGUGAGUAACGCGUAAUCAACCUGCCCUUCAGAGGGGGACAACAGUUGGAAACGACUGCUAAUACCGCAUACUGAUGGCGGGGAUUGCGUCUGAUUAGCUAGUUGGAGGGGUAACGGCCCACCAAGGCGAUGAUCAGUAGCCUGGCUGGGAGGAGGGACGGCCACAUUGGGACUUGGACAAGGGCCAGAAUCCUACGGGGGGCAGCAGUGGGGAAUCUUCCGAAAUGGACGAAAGUCUGACGGAGCAAAGCCGGGUGAGUGAUGACGGCCUUCGGGUUGUAAAGCUCUGUUAAGCGGGACGCGGUACCGGAAGAGAAAGCCACGGCUAACUACGUGCCAGCCGCCGCGGUAAUAC